CGCUGGCAUCACUCAUGUCUGGUUGAUUAUUUUGGUUGCUCGGGGCCUGUAUAUAUUUGCAAUGAAUAGGAAAUAUCAUGACCAAUUAUAUAAAGCCUAAAUGUAAUAACUGAAUAGUAUUGAAUGGCUUGUAUAUGGAGGACAUGAGUUUUCUUUGGACAUCGUUUACAUUCAGAUAUCUUAUGGAGAAUGAUUCAAUCCAUAUGUGUACAUAAACUGUUGCAUAGUAAUUGAGUGCCAUACACCUUAA